UACGUAGGGUGCGAGCGUUGUCCGGAAUCAUUGGGCGUAAAGGGCGCGCAGGCGGCCGAGCACGUCCGUUGUGAAAUCGCCUGGCUCAACUGGGCGGGGUCAGCGGAUACGGCUAGGCUGGAGCAAGCUAGGGGGCAAUGGAAUUCCCGGUGUAGUGGUGAAAUGCGUAGAUAUUGGGAGGAACACCAGUGGCGAAGGCGGCUCACUGGACCGGAACUGACGCUGAGGCGCGAAAGCGUGGGGAGCAAACGGG
rnacentral:rRNA from 1 species